rnacentral:piRNA from 1 species
ACCCAUGGGUGUCCCUCAGUGUCGUGAGUA